UCGGCUUGAAUUUGAGUAAGC
rnacentral:piRNA from 1 species